ensembl:lncRNA FAM86DP family with sequence similarity 86 member D, pseudogene
GGCCCCGCCCACGUCAUGGCGCCCGAGGAGAAUGCGGGGACCGAACUCUUGCUGCAGAGUUUCGAGCGCCGCUUCCUGGCGGCGCGCACGCUGCGCUCCUUCCCCUGGCAGGGGGGCGGCGGGCGAGCGGAGAGGCCCGCGGGGCUCGCGGGAGUCCAGGGGCAGACGGGAUGGGUCUCCGUGCUGAAACCCCCGGCGCUCCUGCCACAGCUUAGAAGCAAAGUUAAGAGACUCAUCAGAUUCUGAGCUGCUGCGGGAUAUUUUGCAGAAGACUGUGAAGCAUCCUGUGUGUGUGUGAAGCACCCGCCGUCAGUCAAGAAAGCCCGGUGCUUUCUCUCAGAACUCAUCAAAAAGGCCGGGCUGGGAUCAUAUGGGAAGCGGAAGCUCAUCAUGACCAGAAACUGUUUCCCUAUGGAGAGCACUUGGAGAUGGCAAUGCUGAACCUCACACUGUAGGACUCACACACGACUCCAACGGGAUUGUGAGAAUCAAGUCAAUCUCAUGGGAAGAAUUUUUAUAUGGGAAAGCGGAUAAAACUUUCAUUGUACU